GUCUAUUCCAAGGACCCUAUAGACAUCCUGAAUAUUAAACUUAAAAUAUUCAAAACCUACUUUAAGGGGUGGGGCUCGAACAAGUUUCAUCACAAUAAAAAAUGAAAGAAGCUUAGACUAGAGCUAGCCAUGCUAGAAGAAUUGGAAGAGGAAGGGCAACUAACUCCAGAGCUAUAUAGCAGAAAAAUUGAUGUGUGCUUUGAGCUACACGAGAUUUUGGUGAAUGAGGAAAUCUACUGGCUCCAACAGUCGCAUGAGCGAUGGUUGCUGAAAGGAGACUUAAACACUGACUACUAUCACAAAAUUGCUAAUGGGUGUAAGCGAGAAAACACCAUUCACUCUCUUAGAGCUGGUGAGGUGGUGAUAGUGGGCACGGAUAACCUGAUUGCUCAUGCUACUGAGUUCUAUAAAGAACUCUUCAGCCCGGCACUAGGCAACCAGUUUCAUCUGGACCCUGAUACUUGGUCUGAUGAUGAAAAGUUUAAUGAGGAUGACAACAGAGAUCUGUGUCGUGAGUUCACUGAAUUGGAGGUUAGGGAAGCUCUUUUUUCCAUGGCCACCAACAGAGCACCAGGUCCGGACAAUAUUCUGGUGGAAUUUUACCAAGCAUGCUGGGAGAUAGUAAAAGAUGAUAUUAUGUCCCUGUUUAGGAACUUUCAUAAUGGGAUGCUUGAUGUUCAGCGUCUCAAUUAUGGGGUGAUUACAUUGUUGCCUAAGAUUUCUGGGGCCGACAAAAUUCAACAGUUUAGACCGAUAUGCCUCCUGAGAUGCCCAUAUAAACUCAUUACUAAAGUGAUGGAUCGUAGGGUGGAGGUGUAUGCCGAUAAGCUAAUUAGUUCUACUCAAAAUGCUUUUGUGAAAGGGAGAAACAUUAUGGAUGGGGUGCUUUCUUUGCACGAAAUCCUUAACUAUACCCAUGUUAAAAAAAAGAGUGGGCAUAGUACUAAAACUUGA
rnacentral:rRNA from 1 species